AUACUAUGAAGAGGACAUCUUCUAAGUAAUUCCUUGAAUCUUUCCCAUGCAUCAUACAAACUUUCAUCUUCAAGUUGAUGAAAAGAUGUAAUCUCUUUUCUCAAUUU
rfam:Citrus clementina cultivar Clemenules unplaced genomic scaffold scaffold_2, whole genome shotgun sequence.